UACGUAGGGUGCAAGCGUUAAUCGGAAUUACUGGGCGUAAAGCGUGCGCAGGCGGUUCUAUAAGACCGAUGUGAAAUCCCCGGGCUCAACCUGGGAACUGCAUUUGUGACUGUAGAGCUGGAGUGCGGCAGAGGGGGAUGGAAUUCCGCGUGUAGCAGUGAAAUGCGUAGAUAUGCGGAGGAACACCGAUGGCGAAGGCAAUCCCCUGGGCCUGCACUGACGCUCAUGCGCGAAAGCGUGGGGAGCAAACAGG
rnacentral:rRNA from 1 species